AAAAAAAAAAAAAAACCUGGGCAUACUUAACGUAAAUUCUAGAGAGAGAUGGGAGAGAGGGGUUCAGAGUCUGGAAAGUGGGUAGUGCUGGCCUUGGAGUGAAGAAAGGGUCAGACUUGGGGUAAAUGAGGCGGACAAGCGAGAGCCUGCACCUUUACUUCUCCCAAAACUUGGUCCAAAGCCUGGGCUGGGCCUGUUUACUGGUUAGAAGCAGCCUCUCUGAGCAGCUUUGCGUCUGAGUCUGACAGAAAAAUAGAAAUAAGCCAGCUUAGGAGUCAGGCUUCCUGGAACAAGGGAGACAGACUGGAGACUAGCCGAGAUGGCCCUGGCCUUUAGAGUGCCUUCUGCAGGAGAAGGGGACCAAAGUCCUGCUGGGUGGGUGGAGGCUGCCUGGCCUGGGAGAAUCUUCUCAAGGAGCUGCCCCUUCCCACACUGCCUCUGCACCCCAGAGGCCACUGCUCAGCCAGGCCCACAUGUGGGGCUUCUCUCUCAGGACCCAAAAUAGCUACACCCAGGCUCGGGGUCAAAUCUGGGAGCCCAGGCCCAAGCCCAGAGCCUCCGGGGAGUUUCCCCAACUUGAGCUGGCGCUGGGCCCGUUUUCAACAGUCCCAGCUAUUGGCUAAUGGAUGUCCGAUUUUACUAUUAAAAGAAAGAUAUUCUGUCUUCUGGAAGACAAGAAUAGAGAAAGCGGAGCGGAGAGGCAGAAUUGAGAUAAAGACGCCUCCGGUCGCAGAGACGCAGUUGAGAGGGGUAACAAAGACACAGCCCGAGGCCUGAGAUCCAGACAGGCAGGCCAGAACCAGCGACGGCAGCCACGACAGGAGAAACACCAGACGCAGACAGAAUCAGCCUGGCAAGGAUGCAUCGGAUAGCCUGACUGAGACCAAGGAUGACCUGGGCUGCGGUCGAGCCAAAGGACCUGCAGAGGUUUCAACGGGCUCGCCUUUGCGCAGCCUUGCCCACUGCGGGAAUCCCGGGCUGUGCCUUAGCCACGCCCACACCGGGACUCCUCCUCUCCGCGCCUUAGCCACACCCCUCAUGGGACCCCGCCUCCAUCGCGACUCAGCCACGCCUCCACCCCAUGACUCCUCCCCUCCGCGCCUCAGCCGCGCCCAAACUUGGGAACUCCACCCCCCGCGCCUCAGCGUCGCUCCCAGCCCGGGUUACCCAGUUCCCUCCGUUUGCACCCCCACCGCCCCUGCCCGGGUGAGUCCCCGCCCCUUUCCCCGACCCGCCACCAGGUGUCCGCGGUCCCGCUGGGGCUCCCAGCUGCUUGAAGACAAGCCAGGUACCAGCUGACUAAGAACAACUUAUGGAAGAAACAUUUAACCUGGAAACUUUUAUCCAUUGCCCCCUCCUUUGGGGAACCUAAGGCAGUGGGCUGCAGCAAGAAGAGCAGGAGACGGGAUCCCGCAUGACUUGACCGGAUUCCCAGCUGGAUUUCACGACAGCCCCGGGACUGUGUAUUAUUAACCCUAACUUCCCUCUCUGCGAAGAACAAUCGUAGACCCGGCGUCUUCCUGCCUUGUCGAAUUGGGAGUCCUAAAUUUAGGCAGGUCAUUUGGCACUGAGCCGGUAGUGAGAAAAUGUCAUUUACCAUCGCUUUCUCUUUGCUGUUUUGCUUGAUUUCCUUUGCUGUUUACAGAGCUGCCCUUGGAAAGACUGGUAUUUUCUUUUCUUCCAGUACCUUUCUAGGUAAUUCUCAAACUUAGUCAGUGAACCAAGAAAUUGAGGCUUAUCAUACCAAUUUCCCAACCUGUUAGAAAAUUAUACUAGGUAUCCAGAAAUAACUAGGCAAUAGUAGCUAUUAUUGCUUGGAUAAAUAAAUUAAUCUUGCACUAUUCUCUUAGACUCCAAGGAGCUAUUCAUUUCUUUUUCUGGUUACUAUUGACUAAUUCCCAAUUUGUUUUUUAGGGUCCAGAAUUUAAUCUGAGAUUUCAGUGACAUUUAAAAUUUUUAUUUAUUGUUUUUAAUAUUUGCUGUCAAGUGAAAAGAACAGAAGAGCUACACAAAAGAUAUAGAUAAGUUGAUGUGUUAUUUUUGUUUGCUGUGCCUCAUUAUGGGAAUUGUCUUGAAAGCAGCCCUUUGCACCUAUUUUGCUGUUGUGGGGUUGGCUAGUAUAUCUUCUGAUGGUUAGUAAAUCUCUGAUGCAUAAAGGAA